UGGGGAAUUUUGGACAAUGGGGGCAACCCUGAUCCAGCGACGCCGCGUGGAGGACGAAGGUCUUCGGAUUGUAAACUCCUUUUGAAGGGGACGAAUGCCUACGUGAAUAACGUAGGGUGACAGUACUCUUCGAAUAAGCCACGGCUAACUUCGUGCCAGCAGCCGCGGUAAUACGAAGGUGGCAAGCGUUACUCGGAAUUACUAGGCGUAAAGCGCAGGUAGGCGGUUCGGAAAGUCUUUUGUGAAAGCUCCCGGCUUAACUGGGAGAGGCCAAGGGAUACUCCCGGACUUGAGUGUGGUAGAGGAUGCUGGAAUUCCCGGUGUAGCGGUGAAAUGCGUAGAGAUCGGGAGGAAUACCGAUGGCGAAGGCAAGCUUCUGGCCGAUAACUGACGCUGAGGUGCGAAAGUGUGGGGAUCAAACA
rnacentral:rRNA from 1 species